GAGAGUCAAGCUAUUAAGGGCUCACGGUGGAUGCCUUGGCGCCAAGGGCCGAAGAAGGGCGUAGCAAGACUGCGAAAAGCCUCGGUUAGCUGUCUAGCAAGCUUAGCCGGGGAUUCCCGAAUGGGGAAACCCCCUUCGGUGGACCCGAAGGAUCCCGACUUUGUCGGGAGGGGAACUCGGGGAACUGAAACAUCUCAGUACCCGGAGGAAAAGAAAGCAACCGCGAUUCCCUAAGUAGUGGCGAGCGAAAGGGGAGGAGCCUAAACCGACCAGGCUUAACGGGCUGGGGCCCUAUGCCUGCUCGGGGUUGUAAGGCACAACAGUUACGACCCCAGUUGUGACAGGGAGUAAGAAACCGCUUCUCUAGCUGAAGGCAUCUGGAAGGAACCGCCAUAGAGGGUGAUAGCCCCGUAGGCGAAAGAGAAGAGGCUCCCGAUGUGACCUUAAGUACCACGGGGCACGGGAAACCCCGUGGGAAGCUGGGGGGACCACCCUCCAAGGCUAAAUACCCUUGGCGACCGAUAGUGAACAAGUACCGUGAGGGAAAGGUGAAAAGCCCCCCGGGAGGGGAGUGAAAUAGAUCUGAAACCGUGAGCCUACAUUCGGUCGGAGCCUCGACUUCGGUCGGGGUGACGGCGUGCCUAUUGAAGCAUGAGCUGGCGAGUUAUUACGUGUGGCAAGGUUAAGGGACUAAAGUUCCGGAGCCGUAGCGAAAGCGAGUCCGAAUAGGGCUAUUUAGUCGCACGUAACAGACCCGAAACCGGGUGAGCUACCCAUGGCCAGGGUGAAGCCUCGGUAACACGAGGUGAAGGCCCGAACCCGGGAGCGGUGCAAAGCUCUGGGAUGAGCUGUGGGUAGAGGUGAAAUGCCAAUCGAACUCGGAGAUAGCUGGUUCUCCCCGAAAUGCAUUUAGGUGCAGCCUCGGGAAUUGCGACGGAGAGGUAGGGCACUGGAUGGGUUAGGGGGCGCGAGCCUACCAAUCCCAACCAAACCACGAAUGCUCCGUCAGUGUAACCCGGGAGUGAGACAGUGGGGGAUAAGCUUCAUUGUCAAAAGGGAAACAGCCCAGAUCGUCAGCUAAGGUCCCCAAGUGCAGGCUUAGUGGGAAAGGAAGUCGGAUCGCAUAGACAGCCAGGAGGUUGGCUUAGAAGCAGCCACCCUUUAAAGAGUGCGUAAUAGCUCACUGGUCGAGCGAUUCGGCACCGAAAAUUUAACGGGGCUCAAGCCUGCCACCGAAGCUACGGGAUUCGAUGCUAUUGCAUUGGAUCGGUAGGGGAGCGUUCCCAUCAUACCGAACUUGUUUCGACAAGAUCGGUGCGUGCGUUGAAGUCGGGUCGUGAGGCCCGGUGGAGCGGUGGGAAGUGAGAAUGCCAGCAUGAGUAGCUAGAAAACGUGUGAAAACCACGUUCACCGCAAGCCCAAGGUUUCCUCCGCAACGUCGAUCGGCGGAGGGUUAGGCGGUCCUAAGACUAAGCCGAAAGGUGAUGCCGAUGGACAGUGGGUCAAUAUUCCCACCCCACCCGCUAUCCGUUUUAACGACGAGGGGGGACACGGAAAGGUAGGCGAAGCGUGCCUAUUGGACAUGGUGCGUCUGACCUGUUAGGCCGUCAGGGUAGGCAAAUCCGCCCUGACAUAAGGCUGAGAGGGGAGGGGAUCUCGCGAAAGCGGGAAACUUUGCUGAGCCUAUACCGGCAAGAAAAUCCUCGCGUCUAGGCAGCGGGUGUCCGUACCGCAAACCGACUCAGGUGGGCUGGGGUAAGCACCCCAAGGUGAUCGAGCGACCCCUCGCUAAGGAACUCGGCAACAUAGCCCCGUAACUUCGGGAUAAGGGGUGCCCCGGAGGGUGGCCUCCCACGCGGAGGUUCGCUUUUCGGGGUCGCAGCGCAGCGGCUCUGGCGACUGUUUACCAAAAACACAGGUCUCUGCAAAGUCGAAAGACGAUGUAUAGGGGCUGACGCCUGCCCAGUGCCGGAAGGUUAAGGGGAAAGGUGAAUCCUGCUUCGGCAGGAGGCAGCUUUGAACUGAAGCCCCGGUGAACGGCGGCCGUAACUAUAACGGUCCUAAGGUACCGAAAUCCCUUGUCGGGUAAGUUCCGACCCGCAGGAAAGGCGUCACGACUGGAGCACUGUCUCAGCGAGGGCCUCGGCGAAAUUGCACGGCCCGUGAAGAUGCGGGUAACCCGCGGCAGGACAAAAAGACCCCGUGGAGCUUUACUGUAUCCUGGCCCUGAUCUGGGGUCCGAAAUGUGUAGGAUAGGUGGGAGGCUUUGAAGCUCCGCCGCCAGGCGGGGUGGAGCCAACCUUGAAAUACCACCCUUUUCGGAUUUUGGAUCUAACCCCUAGAUAGGGGGACCCGGUCAGGUGGGCAGUUUGACUGGGGCGGUUGCCUCCCAAAAUGUAACGGAGGCGCCCAAAGGUUCCCUCAGGGUGGAUGGAAAUCACCCGAAGAGUGUAUGGACAUAAGGGGGCUUGACUGUGCGGCCAACAAGCCAAGCAGGGACGAAAGUCGGGCCAAGUGAUCCUACGGUUCCGAGUGGAAGGGCCGUGGCUUAUCGGACAAAAGCUACCCCGGGGAUAACAGGCUGAUCCCGCCCAAGAGUUCACAUCGACGGCGGGGUUUGGCACCUCGAUGUCGGCUCGUCCCAUCCUGGGGCUGAAGCAGGUCCCAAGGGUCCGGCUGUUCGCCGGUUAAAGGGGUACGCGAGCUGGGUUCAGACCGUCGUGAGACAGGUCGGUCUCUAUCCGCCGCGGGCGUAGGAGAAUUGAGGGGGGCUCUCCCUAGUACGAGAGGACCGGGAGGGACCGACCUCUAGUGUUCCGGUCGUUCCGCCAGGAGCGUAGCCGGGUAGCUAAGUCGGGUUCGGAUAAGCGCUGAAGGCAUCUAAGUGCGAAGCCGGCCCCAAGAUUAAUUCUCCCGCUGGGUUAACCAGGUAAGACCGCAGGGAGACUACCUGCUAUAUAGGCCGCGUGUGGAAGCGCCGCAAGGCGUGGAGCUAAGCGGUCCUAAUCGGUCGAGGGCUUGACCUUU
rnacentral:rRNA from 1 species